ACGGAAGGCUGGGGAGUUGGCCUACAAGGAUUAGGGGUAACUCCACACAGUCUCUCUUUCCACACCAAACCCUACACCUCUCUUAACAUUUCCUAAAAGGCAUCUUUUAAAAGCCAGCAAAUUUUAAGUCAGAGAGUCUCAUCUGUCUGUGAGCUGUUGUGGCAACUUAAAUCUUUGGGAACGAACGAACCUCCAGCUGCUAACCUGGUUGGAACUUGGUCCUGCCAGCCAGUUGAAAACAUUGACCCUUCCCUUGGAUUGUGCAAGUACCCACGAGUGACCUUUGGAGCACUUAAACUCCAUCCUCAAAGCACAUUGCCCUUCCUCAUUAAAAGACCUUGAUUUCCUG